AGUGAACGCUGGCGGUAGGCCUAACACAUGCAAGUCGAACGGCAGCACAGUAAGAGCUUGCUCUUACGGGUGGCGAGUGGCGGACGGGUGAGGAAUACAUCGGAAUCUACUUUUUCGUGGGGGAUAACGUAGGGAAACUUACGCUAAUACCGCAUACGACCUACGGGUGAAAGCAGGGGAUCUUCGGACCUUGCGCGAUUGAAUGAGCCGAUGUCGGAUUAGCUAGUUGGCGGGGUAAAGGCCCACCAAGGCGACGAUCCGUAGCUGGUCCGAGAGGAUGAUCAGCCACACUGGAACUGAGACACGGUCCAGACUCCUACGGGAGGCAGCAGUGGGGAAUAUUGGACAAUGGGCGCAAGCCUGAUCCAGCCAUACCGCGUGGGUGAAGAAGGCCUUCGGGUUGUAAAGCCCUUUUGUUGGGAAAGAAGAGCAGCAGGUUAAUACCCCGCUGUUCUGACGGUACCCAAAGAAUAAGCACCGGCUAACUUCGUG
rnacentral:rRNA from 1 species